rnacentral:rRNA from 1 species
AGUGAACGCUGGCGGUAGGCCUAACACAUGCAAGUCGAACGGCAGCACAGUAAGAGCUUGCUCUUACGGGUGGCGAGUGGCGGACGGGUGAGGAAUACAUCGGAAUCUACUUUUUCGUGGGGGAUAACGUAGGGAAACUUACGCUAAUACCGCAUACGACCUACGGGUGAAAGCAGGGGAUCUUCGGACCUUGCGCGAUUGACUGAGCCGAUGUCGGAUUGGCUAGUUGGCGGGGUAAAGGCCCACCAAGGCGACGAUCCGUAGCUGGUCUGAGAGGAUGAACAGCCACACUGGAACUGAGACACGGUCCAGACUCCUACGGGAGGCAGCAGUGGGGAAUAUUGGACAAUGGGCGCAAGCCUGAUCCAGCCAUACCGCGUGGGUGAAGAAGGCCUUCGGGUUGUAAAGCCCUUUUGUUGGGAAAGAAAAGCAGCAGGUUAAUACCCCGCUGUUCUGACGGUACCCAAAGAAUAAGCACCGGCUAACUUCGUG